AUACGGAGGAUGCGAGCGUUAUCCGGAUUUAUUGGGUUUAAAGGGUGCGUAGGCGGAUGAUUAAGCGUGAGGUGAAAUGCCACUGCUCAACAGUGGAACUGCCUCGCGAACUGGUUGUCUUGAAUGCUCCUGCCGUGGGAGGAAUGUGUGGUGUAGCGGUGAAAUGCAUAGAGAUCACACAGAACACCGAUUGCGAAGGCAGCUCACGAAGGGGUGAUUGACGCUGAGGCACGAAAGCGUGGGGAUCAAACAGGAUUAGAUACCCUGGUAGUCCACGCAGUAAACGAUGAUGGCUAACCGCUGGGCUUAUCAGUUCAGUGGCCAAGCGAAAGCGAUAAGCCAUCCACCUGGGGAGUACGACCGCAAGGUUGAAACUCAAAUGAAUUGACGGGG
rnacentral:rRNA from 1 species